AUUGCAAUGUUUUCAGGUUAUGACACAUUUCGAUACCAACUAUAUUCAUUUCUUAUCGCCUGUACUGUGUAUAAUAAUUGUUAUGGCGUUAACAUGUUAAAUAAUCACACCCCAAAAGGUGCCCAUCAUAGAGUGUUUCUCUUUGCCUGCAAUCAGGAUACAUCAACUGACCUUUGAACUGUGUUUUCCAACUUGGGAUUCAAACACAUGCCCUCUUGGGUAGGAGAAAGUCAGACAAACACCUGUGGCUAUAUCACUAUACUUCUUCAAGUCUCGCUCUAUGAGUGAUCAUGAUGUGAAAUAAAACAAAAUGCAGUCAUCUUUUUGUCAUAUUAAAUAAGUUAUGAACAAAUAAAAUAUUUCAAACAUUUUA